UAGUUUGGAUAAUCUAAGAACUGAUUUGAGUCUUGGAUUAAAGCAUAAUCUAAAACUCAGUCUAUUUAAGGCAAUGGUUAGGAUAGGUUGCUCUGAGUUUUGCAUACCAUAACAUCACCCAAUAGUAGCUUCAAUAAACUUCUUUCACAGAGUUCUUUGAGAAUUAAAAAAUCUGAGCUCAGAUGUCAUUUAGUUCAAGUACCACUUUUCUUAUCUUUGGAACAUGCUCUUCUUAGUCUAUGUCUAAAUUAGCAAGUUGGAGAAGUAGUGCAGUUUUGAAGCAAAUGCUUCCCUUGUACUAUGUGUGGUUGGUUCCUCACAGCAGUUUUUGUGCACUAGACCUCACUUCCUUUUGGAGGAAGUAAAGAAAACAACAGUGAUCAUGAAUACAUACCACAGAUAAGUUUAUUGGGCAACAGGUAAUCUCAGUGACUACUGGGUUUGAGAAGACUGGCAAACAACGUUUCAUUACAUUUUAAAAAUGAAGGAAACAAAAAACCAACAUCAGGGCUGGCCUGGCAGGUGGGCACCUGUUAUGAAGAGCUUCCAGGAAUAUUCAAGUGGGAGCACAGUGCUGGGCCAAUCUGGAUUUCUCAGCCUUUGAUUCUCUAUGCUGGAGAAUAGGGAGGAUUCUCUCUCAUUGCUCUGGAAUUCCCUGUACCUGGGUUCAGAGAGGACUACUGGGAAAACACACCCAGAAACAUCCCAUCAGUACAUAGCUUACAUUAGCAACGUGCUGUGUCAAUAUGGCCAAUUCUAGCUGCAAUGAUCAUUAUUCACUCCAGCAAACGUGGCCAUUAAAUGCAAGGAUCUGGGAGGCCUGAGAGCACAGCAUGCCAGUGGAGACCCAAGACAAAUAAAGCAAUUGAGUAUGCUGAUGUUUUCCAUGUCAUUAAGUUCCAUGUCCCGUUAAGCAGAUAACCUGUGUUUCACUGGUCUUUAGCUGCCCAGAUAUUCUGGCGGUUUAUCAGGGAAAAGAUGUUAGAGGUUGGGUAUCGGGUACUUCAAGGCAUUGUUACUGAUGCUUAGAGCAGUUUUCAGCUUCUCUUCUUUCCUGCCCUCUUCUCAUAGAAACAAGCAUGAAAAGCCACAGGAUCACCAGACAUCAAUUCAACUCUCAGCAUGGAGGCAGCAGUGCCACAAUGCCAUUAAGGAAUGCCAUGAGGUAGAACAGAAAUGACUUCUACAUAUGAAAUCUUCAGACAGUGGCGAUGUGGAUGUCAGCACACUAAUACCAGCUACUGGAAGCCCACAAAUUGACAGGGCAGCCCAAAGAGACACAAGGAAGGUGUCACACCAGAAGCUGUCGUCCUGGAUAUAUGUUGAAAGAUCUGGCUGUGUUUGUUCUGAAGUAAACUCCAAACCAAACAUUUAUGGAGCGCUGGUGGGCAGUACUGACCACUUCAAACUGUGACUAAAUUCACUUUGUGUCAUCUUUUUCUUUUUUUCUGAAAGCUCUCAUAAAGUUCCAUACAGACAUCCUCAUUUGAGUUGCUGGGAUGGUAUUCCCACAUGAGAUCCUAAACCAGAUAGCAUGGUGCUGAGGUCACCCUGGAUGGCCUGAUCUGAGCCCCCUUUAAGCCUGAAGAGCUUGGCCCAAAUACCUCAGAUAUCUGUGGUUGGAUGAAUCCAUUUCCUGAUGUGUAGAUGCUGAAAUGGGAAUUAGUCACUAUUGUCAGCUUACAGGAGGAUCUGCUGUGGGAUCUUACCAGUCAUAGAGGUGAGAUUGACUGGAAAUAAUAACCCAUUUCCCAGAGUUCUUUCCCAGGAGACUUGGAACUCCUGGCCAAUUUUCUCCUGAGUUUCAGAAACAGCAAGACUCCCCCUCCUUUGGAGGCUGCCCACUCAACAAGGUUAACACUAUUUCAAAAAGCCAGCGUCCCUUGCGGUCUUUUUGAUGUUGGAGCUGUCUGCAGAAAACACCAUUCCAUUGUCUGAGAAACAGAAGGAAUAUGGUUCUGCAGGUUAGGCAACAGAUAGUUAGAAUCACAGAAUGGCCUGGGUUGAAAAGGACCACAAUGACCAUCGAGUUUCAACCCCCCCUGCUAUGUGCAGGGGCGACAACCACCAGACCAGGCUGCCCAGAGCCACAGCCAACCUGGCCUUGAACGCACCCAGGGAUGGGACAUCCACAGCCUCCUUGGGCUACCUGUUCCAGUGUCCUUGAAACUGAGAGAACCUGAGCCCAGGUGUGUACAUAUAAUUUAAGUAGUUGUUGAACAAAAUUCAGAAGCAGCCCUUAACAAAGGGGCCCCAGAACACAAGACUCCCCCUUUGUUAAUCAUGUGCCAUUAUGAGUAGGUUAAAGAACCUGUUUUGCUUUCACUUUUUGGCCAAGUGAGCCUUGGGUCCUUUUCUCUACAAUGGCAAAAAUUCAACAGGAAGAAGUGACAGCAUCUCUUUUUUACCCUCUAAUGCUUGGAACUUGCUGCAUUGCUACUUGGUCAUACAGUCAUUAUUCCUGUUGGUUUGUAACUGCCUGUGUCGACUUCUGAUUUUGCUGGUGCCAGCCUCAGGCUUAGAAAUGCUCAUUAGCUUUUUCUUUGCUGUCUGUGCAACUCAAUCAUUUAUCUGUCCUACCCAGGAUUUUAAUUUAGUCGUCGUUUUUUUUUUUCUUUUUUUUUUUCUUUCCCAAAAGGGAUUGAAGGAAGCUUGUAAACAUAAAAGAAAACUGUCCUCAGAGUAAUCCCUCCACAAUUGCUACCUGGAAAAGCAUGAUCUCCUGUUAACAUAUCUGCUUAAUGAUACACCUUGGUUGAGUCUCAGGGUUUGAGAAAUUUGAGUAGGUUUUGAGCAGUCAAACAUUAACUUCUGAGGCUCGUGGCUGGCUGAUAUACUUUCCCUGCGUUAGUCUUGAGAGCAUAAUGUGGCGUCUAACAAAAUUUAGUCAGUGUUAAGUCACUGUUGAGCAUAAAGCAGGUUUGCAGUUUAGAAUUACUUCUGUGUAUGUUGCAUUGGAAGGUUUUCCUUAUCCUACUGCUGAUGUUGUUAUUGCCUCAGAAGGACUUCAGGUUGGAUAUUAGGAAAAAUUUCUCAAAAAGAGUAGUGAGGCAGUGGCACAGCUGCCCAGGGAGGUGGUGAAGUCACUGUCCCUAGUGGUGUUCAAGAACUGUGUGGGUGUGGCACUGAGAGACAUGGUUAGUGGGCACGGUGUGAUGGGUUGGUGGUAGGACUACAUGAUCUUAGAGGGCUUUCCAACCUUAUUGAUUCUAUGAUUCUAUGAUUUCACUCUUCGGGAGUAUAUUCAUUCACAUUUACCCAAGCUUUAAGAAAUAAAACUGCUUGACCAACAAGCAUCGCUCUCUGACCAACUGAAGACACAACAAUCUCCUACUGACAUGAAAUCUGAUGACAGCACAGUGCUGUGAGCAGGAGAGUAAGACCUCUUGUGGGGUAUGAAUUAGGAGAUUUGCUGCUGGCAUAAAUAACUGAAUUAGGGAUGAGAUUAUACAUGUGGUGACUCACUUUUUACUCAAAUACAGUAAAGAAGUUUUAAGUUCUAUAGAAAAUGAAGACGAUUGCUUAUUAAAUUGAAAAGCAUGUAGAUUAAGUCCUGGGGUCGAUGUGAAACUUUCAGCAGGACCUCAGUGGGGCAGGUUAGAGGAAUUGCACAAGAUAGACGGAUGGUGUUAUGUGCUCUUUCACUUAGUGUUGCUGUGAUGCAAAUGUAAAAGUUUGACCAAGAGCCUCAGCAUAACUGAAACUACAACUGUGUAAAGUAAAAAUACAGAUAUAAAAUAGAAUGGCCAGUGGCUGUUCUCUCAGAUUGCUUUUUCUAAGGUGAUACUUUCCACAUGUGUUGGUCAUCAUUCCCAUAGAGGAAUAUGUGAGUGCAUAAGAGAUGGAAGACUGUGAUGCAGUCUGCUUGCUUGCUUUGAUUUUAUACGCUAAUAAGCCUUAAUUUGCAAGGGUGUUAACUUAUGUCUUUUUUGUAUCUACUGUGUAUUAAAUUCUGGCUAUAUUUAAUGCAGUGUUUGGCAGCAUGAACCUGAUAAAAGAACAGGUGUCUGCUGCUUUCUAAGGUAAUACCAGAUGUUUUGCUCACUCUCAUUCACAUUUGUUUAUGCCUUCUCUCUCUAAGUUUUCAAAGCAUCGACUUGAAG
ensembl:lncRNA